rnacentral:rRNA from 1 species
AUGCAGAAACGUGCAAAUGAGAAGGUUGCAUUUUCUGUGAAGAGGUGUCAGGAGCUGGCAUUUGAGUGCGGUGUUCAGCAAAUGGUUGACUCUGUCUAUGCUAUGUCCAAGAUGUUCGAAACGGAGUACCAAAGGGAGUUCUUUUGUGGCCAAUUAACUCCUGAGCUUAGGUUGGGUUACUUCAAGAAAUGGUGCAGAGACAACAAUUUGGAGUAG